rnacentral:rRNA from 1 species
UACGUAGGUGGCAAGCGUUGUCCGGAAUUAUUGGGCGUAAAGCGCGCGCAGGCGGUCCUUUUAAGUCUGAUGUGAAAGCCCACGGCUCAACCGUGGAGGGUCAUUGGAAACUGGGGGGACUUGAGUGCAGGAGAGAAGAGUGGAAUUCCACGUGUAGCGGUGAAAUGCGUAGAGAUGUGGAGGAACACCUGUGGCGAAGGCGGCCGACUGGGCCGACCCUGACGCUGAGGCGCGAAAGCCAGGGGAGCGAACGGG